UACGUAGGGACCGAGCGUUGUCCGGAUUCAUUGGGCGUAAAGAGCUCGUAGGCGGCCACUCAAGUCGAAUGUGAAACCUCGAGGCUUAACCUCGAGCCUGCAUUUGAUACUGGGCGGCUAGAGUCUGGUAGGGGGAUCUGGAAUUCCUGGUGUAGCGGUGGAAUGCGCAGAUAUCAGGAGGAACACCGGUGGCGAAGGCGGUUCUCUGGGAAUAUCCUGACGCUGAGGAGCGAAAGUGUGGGGAGCGAACAGG
rnacentral:rRNA from 1 species